rnacentral:rRNA from 1 species
AAUCAACGCUGGCGGCGUGCCUCAGACAUGCAAGUCGAACGAUUAAAGCUCCCUUCGGGAGUGUAUAGAGUGGCGCACGGGUGAGUAACACGUAAGUAAUCUACCUUUGAGUGGGGAAUAACCCGGGAACCCGAGCUAAUACCGCAUAACGCAGCGGCAUCGCAAGAUGACAGUUGUUAAAGGAGCAAUCCGCUUAAAGAGGAGCUUGCGGCAGAUUAGCUAGUUGGAAGGUAAUAGCUUACCAAGGCUACGAUCUGUAUCCGGUCUAAGAGGACGGUCGGACACACUGACACUGAAUAACGGGUCAGACUCCUACGGGAGGCAGCAGUCGGGAAUUUUGGGCGAAU